ACCUCAGAAACCAAGAAAGCAGGGCAGACCGGAUAUCUGUAAGUGCGGGUUCGAGUCCCGCCUGAGGUU
rnacentral:tRNA from 1 species